rnacentral:rRNA from 1 species
AUGGCGAAUGACUGCCACUUAAUCACUCUGCGGCUUGACACCAUACUGAUCGACGAUGUGGGUCGUGGUGGAGUGGUUGGCGCGGUGGUUUUGCCUUCACGAGCCCCGGCAGGCCCUGCUAGGACGCUUUGGUUGUCUGCUUCUAGGGGAUGUUCCUACCUAUUGUCUGGAUAUACCAAGAGAGAUCUACGGUCUAAUGAGGCUACUAUGAAAUUCUUACUCACGGGUGGGGCAAGCUCUUCUAUUCUGGUUCAUGGUUUCUCUUGGCUAUAUGGUUCAUCUGGGGGGAUCGAGCUUCAAGAAAUUGUGAACGGUCUUAUCAAUACACAAAUGUAUAACUCCCCAGGAAUUUCAAUUGUGCUUAUAUCCAUCACUGUAGGACUUGGGUUUAAGCUUUCCCCAGCCCCUUUUCAUCAAUGGACUCCUGACAUCUAUGAAGGAGUAGUGGCCUCGCCCCUUGCCGGGCUCGCCUACCUGGCAAGGGAAGACUUUCUCUUGGCAAUAUCUUGCUUCUUUAGCUUGGCCUUGGUCCCUCUGUUCUGCAUGUUGGUCCUUUGA